rnacentral:lncRNA from 10 species
GAUAAGGACUUUGGCCACAGCCCUGCCUAUCCCCCAGGUAUCCCCAUAAAGUCUUUAACCCUUAGAUAUAGAACUGCUCUGUCCCUUUUCUACAAAACAAAUGUGUUAUUUGGGCAGAAGAGGAAAGGAGAAAAUUUGAAGUGGAAAAAUCUUUGGUUUGGAAAUUCAGCUGACUGCCCUCAUUUGGAAUAGCAGGAGAGAGGGAGGUUGGAAGCGCCACUGAGAGGAGUCAGAGGAAAGUGUAAGGAGACUUGGGAACAUGUGAUCAGGAGGUGGUCAUGAGGAUGAAAGUCAUAUGUGAAGGAUGAUGGAACAGAGGGACUAAAGGAGCCUGCCCUGGACACCCUGAUUUCCUGCUAUGGGGAGUGAAAAAGAAGCCAUAGUCCCAUGGAUUCUGUUACCAGCCACUGAGUGCAAUCCUACCUGAUCCCAUGGUCCUCACCAAGGCUGUGUCUGCUUAGGAAAUGGAGAAUGGUCCCCAAACCACAGCAGCAAAAAUGAGUGGAAGGGUUGAGCAUUAUUUCCAGCCUUGGUUGCUCUGGUGAUUGGUGCCUGGGAGGGGCAGGACCUCCAUCCAACAGACUGUACCAGCAGAGUCGUAAGAGGCUUUGUCAGUGGUUCCCAGAUACCAAUUUAUAAAGAUUUCACUAGUCUGUGGCAAAAUAAUAUAACAAUGGCUAUGA